UCGCGAUCUCUGGGCCCGCGCUCGCUUCUUAGAGGACCCCCGGGUCCUAGCGCGUCGUUUCCCCGUACUGCUAUUUCCAAGUAAAGAAAACAGAAGACGCCAAAAGGGUACACUUCCCAUCGUACUGUUGCCAACCCAUCAUUAUGGAAAUCCCAGACAGGACUGACUGAUAUUCAAAAGGGGAGGUACACCCUGGGAAACAAUCACUAGAGUACAGAGAUGGAAGCUUCCAGAAGAUCUACAUGCUUCUGCAGGUGACAGAUGGCUGUGGGAGGGAUCCCACAUUGAAGCAUGACAAGUGUGACAUACAUGACUGCACAGAUGCUUCAGAUUCCUCCCAAAGGCUACUUUACACAGUGAGUUCCAAGUGUGCCAAUGAAUGCGUGCCAAUGAAGUACUGUAUGUUUGGUAAGGGAAUCUCUCAUCCCUUAUUGAAGAAGGAUAUUCCAAAGAAAUCCCUGCAUCCUGGUGUUCACUGCUGCCUUACUAUGGGUAAGAUACAGAAAGAAACAGAUUAUCCAUUAAUGCAUGGAUAA
rnacentral:lncRNA from 1 species